rnacentral:rRNA from 1 species
UACGGGGGGGGCAAGCGUUGUUCGGAAUUACUGGGCGUAAAGGGCGCGUAGGCGGCCUGCUAAGUCGGACGUGAAAUCCCUCGGCUCAACCGAGGAACUGCGUCCGAUACUGGUGGGCUUGAAUCCGGGAGAGGGAUGUGGAAUUCCAGGUGUAGCGGUGAAAUGCGUAGAUAUCUGGAGGAACACCGGUGGCGAAGGCGGCAUCCUGGACCGGUAUUGACGCUGAGGAGCGAAAGCGUGGGGAGCGAACAGG